CACACCAGAGUUCACAUACUUCUAAGUUCAAUUUGUAGUUGUGCUGCCACUCCAUCUCUUAUCAAGUGGUCUAUUUACUUUGUUUUUCAGGUAGGUUCAUUGCUUUAUGUACGUGUGGUCAAAGCUAGUGCUGGCAUGAAUCCUGAGCUCUCAGGUCUGAUUAGUUUGUGACCAUUAUUCUAAAUAAUAAUAUCUUGUGUUCUAUGUGCAAUAGCCAGUGGUAAAGCAGCAGAGUUUGGCAUACUGAAAGAGGGGUACAUGUUUGAAACAUCAACUGGUCUCUCACGAAGGCUUCUCUGCUCUCCAACAUGUCCUGUUCUUGAGGCUCUUGGCAAGAAGCUAUCAUUUGAAAUAGCUGUUGGGUUAAAUGGCCGUGUUUGGGUGGAAAAGUAUAUACAUUGUGUGCAAUAAUCUUGAGAUGGAGCGUCAAAUUUGUUAUGGUGCCAAUGCAAAGGUUCAUCUAUCUAACCCACAGUUUUGAUUAGUGACACCAUCCUCCAACAAGACUCGAGUGGAACCGCCUGUUUUGCUAAGCAUAUGAAUACAUCUGUCCUAAAGGAGAGGAGUAACCUUAUUUGGGAUGGGUUUCUACCAUGCCAUGACCCAAGCUCCUCACCACAUCUCCCAGAACGCUGUGAGAAAAUGCCAUGAAUCUCCAAGAAACUCCAUGGAAUCCUCUAAAACAUCAAGAUCUGCAACUUGAACUUCAAGACCAUGAAACCUGAAAAUAUGCAGCCUUAAAACCAUGAAACUCUAAACCUUAAUCAUUGAUUGUCUAACCAUGAACCUUAAGCCAUGAAUUGUGAACCCCUGAAACAUGAAACAAUGUAGAACAAUGAAAUCUGAAACCCAGAAUCUCUUCAAACUUGAUUGAACCCCAGAUGUGAACAGGAACCGUCAAGAAACCAGAGAAAAAUUUCCAUAAAGAUCAGUCAUAUGAUUGAGAUAGGCUAUCAAAUUUGACACUCGGACUAUUUUUUCCAUUAUCCAUCUUUGUAAUUAGUUAGAUUCCCGAAUAGUCAGUCAACACUCGACAUGGCUUCUGGGUCUUGGUGUGAUGGGACACUUUUUUAUGCAAAAUGGCUGUUACCCCAAGCAUUGAAAAUCCCAUGAAUUUGAAAGUUAUCCUGUUGCUAACCCUAGGAUUGCCAUAUAAACCAUGCUUUGCUAUUGAAAUAAUAUCCAGUCAUAUCAGUUUGCUUUGGAAUUUAGGUGAAUGCUGGCUCUGCUUCCACAGUAAUCCUUGCUGCAAAUGCAAUCGUGAACUCGGAGUCUCUCAGCAGCACGAAACAAAAAAUCAUGGUGGAAAAACUCCUCCAGAGAUUUCAGUAAUGCCAAGUAAGUCAGUCCACUGAAAAUUAUUUCCCUCUCAGCUCCUCUUAUAAUCCUUCCGAGAGUUCCAUGGAGUUGUAUCACUGGUGUCCUCAUGACUUUCAAGUUUGUAUAUGCUGGUUUGGUCUCCUUGGUAUCGCAUCCUUCACAAUUCUUGCAAUACUGCAUUUGCUGUUGAUAAAGGUAAUUUCCUACAUUCUUUACAUUUAUUUAUUUUUUUUAUUUUUUACUAUUUAUGGAUUGGUCUUUAGGCCGCAUUUAGUUGUCUAGUUUCUAAACAAAACUGGUGCAGAAAUUCUCAUUUUAAAACCAUACCCAAGGGGGUCUACUAGUGUGGUAUGUUUCAGCCCAAGCUGAUUUGUUCAUGGGUGGCAUAACCUAUCCAAUUGUUGGGUUUGCAGAUACCAGCCUGUCUUCACGUGGCUCAAAACGAUUCGUUGUCAAAGAUGAACUCUUUAACUGACCAUUAAGUGGAGAUUUUAUUAAUUUUAAAGUCUCAUUUUAAUGGUUUUGUUUGUUCUAAAAUUUUUCAUGUAAAUAAUAUUUUAUAUUUAAUUUUUUUUCCCCCCCAAUGUUUCUCUUAUUGAAAAAUCUUAUUUUAUAGGAAAAAUUUUCUUUUCCAUAGAAACAGAUGGAGCUUACAUGCAUAAGUUGAUCAGGCCAAAGCUAGAGAUCAAAAAAUGAUCACUGUCUUGAAGUGUCCAAAAAGUUGAGCUCCAACUGCAUUGUUGGUGUGGCAAAUAAUAGAAUAGAUGCAAGUUUGGAUGUGCAAUUUCACAAGCCUUUAUCUGCCAUGUGGCCUGCCAUUUGACAAAUCUGGACUGUCGAAUAGAAAGUGUACCAUGAAUUGGUCAAGUGUCAAAUUUGAUUCUUGUUCAAUCAUAUGGUAGACUGUGUAUUAAGACAAUAUCCCUUUUAUUCUUAACAAUUUGAAUGUCUUUUUUUAUAUAUAUAUUUUUUUGUUUAA